rnacentral:rRNA from 1 species
UACAUAGGGUGCAAGCGUUGUCCGGAAUUAUUGGGCGUAAAGAGCUCGUAGGUCGUUUGCCGCGUCGAUUGUGAAAAUCUGAGGCUCACCCUCAGACCUGCAGUCGAUACGGGCAAACUAGAGUGUGGUAGGGGAGACUGGAAUUCCUGGUGUAGCGGUGGAAUGCGCAGAUAUCAGGAGGAACACCAAUGGCGAAGGCAGGUCUCUGGGCCAUAACUGACAGCUGAGGAGCGAAAGCGCGGGGAGCGAACAGGAUUAGAUACCCUGGUAGUCCGCGCCGUAAACGAUGGGCACUAGCUGUGAGAGCCUUCCACGGUUCUCGCGACGCAGCAAACGCAUUAAGUGCCCCGCCUGGGGAGUACGAUCGCAAGAUUAAAACUCAAAGGAAUUGACGGGGCCCCGCACAAGCAGCGGAGCAUGCGGCUUAAUUCGACGCAACGCGAAGAACCUUACCAAGGCUUGACAUAUAGCGAAAAGUGGCAGAGAUGUCAUGUCCGCAAGGGCGCUAUACAGGUGGUGCAUGGUUGUCGUCAGCUCGUGUCGUGAGAUGUUGGGUUAAGUCCCGCAACGAGCGCAACCCUCGUUCUGUGUUACCAGCAUUCACUUGGGGACUCACAGGAGACUGCCGGGGUCAACUCGGAGGAAGGUGGGGAUGACGCCAAAUCAUCAUGCCCCUUAUGUCUUGGGCUGCACGCAUGCUACAAUGGCCGGUACAAAGUGCUGCGAAAUCGUAAGAUUUAGCGAAUCACAUAAAGCCGGUCUCAGUUCGGAUUGAGGUCUGCAACUCGACCUCAUGAAGUCGGAGUUGCUAGUAAUCGUAGAUCAGCAACGCUACGGUGAAUACGUUCCACGGGGCU